rnacentral:rRNA from 1 species
CCCGGGCCUUGUACACACCGCCCGUCACACCACGAAAGUCGGCAACACCCGAAGUCAGUGGCCCAACCCGCAAGGGGGGGAGCUGCCGAAGGUGGGGUUGGUGAUUGAGGUG